UAGUGCCACGGGAGCAGCAGUAGGGAAUCUUCCACAAUGGACGAAAGUCUGAUGGAGCAACGCCGCGUGAGUGAAGAAGGGUUUCGGCUCGUAAAGCUCUGUUGGUAGGGAAGAAAGAUAGAGGUAGUAACUGGCCCUUAUUUGACGGUAAUUACUUAGAAAGUCACGGCUAACUACGUGCCAGCAGCCGCGGUAAUACGUAGGUGGCAAGCGUUGUCCGGAUUUAUUGGGCGUAAAGCGAGUGCAGGCGG
rnacentral:rRNA from 1 species